UACGUAGGGGGCAAGCGUUGUCCGGAUUUAUUGGGCGUAAAGAGCGUGUAGGCGGCCAGGUAGGUCCGUUGUGAAAACUCGAGGCUCAACCUCGAGACGUCGGCGGAAACCCUCUGGCUAGAGUCCGGAAGAGGAGAGUGGAAUUCCUGGUGUAGCGGUGAAAUGCGCAGAUAUCAGGAAGAACACCUAUGGCGAAGGCAGCUCGCUGGGACGUUACUGACGCUGAGACGCGAAAGCGUGGGGAGCAAACAGG
rnacentral:rRNA from 1 species